AGGUGUGGGGUUUAGAUGAUUGGGGGCGGCGUAUCUUUUGAUUUGGUAAAAGUUAGCCCCUCCCCAUCAUCUUGACACCACAUUU
rnacentral:pre_miRNA from 1 species